rnacentral:rRNA from 1 species
AUUGAACGCUGGCGGCAGGCCUAACACAUGCAAGUCGAACGAGUGGCGGACGGGUGAGUAAUGUCUGGGAAACUGCCUGAUGGAGGGGGAUAACUACUGGAAACGGUAGAUAAUACCGCAUACCAUCGGAUGUGCCCAGAUGGGAUUAGCUAGUAGGUGGGGUAAAGGCUCACCUAGGCGACGAUCCCUAGCGGGUCUGCGAGGAUGACCAGCCACACGGGAAGUGAGACACGGUCCGACCUCCUAGGGGAGGCAGCAGGGGGGAAUAUUGCACAAUGGGGGCAAGCCUGAUGCAGCCAUGCCGCGUGUAGGAAGAAGGCCUUCGGGUUGUAAAGUACUUUCAGCGGGGAGGCGUUACCUGCAGAAGAAGCACCGGCUAACUCCGUGCCAGCAGCCGCGGUAAUAC